rnacentral:rRNA from 1 species
GAUGAACGCUAGCUACAGGCUUAACACAUGCAAGUCGAGGGGUAACGAGAGGAAAGCUUGCUUUCCUUGUCGACGACCGGCGCACGGGUGAGUAACGCGUAUCCAACCUGCCCCCAACUAAGGAAUAACCUUGCGAAAGUAAGACUAAUACCUUAUAAUUUCCUCAGAUGUCAUCUGACGAGGAAUAAAGAUUUAUCGGUUGUGGAUGGGGAUGCGUCUGAUUAGCUUGUUGGCGGGGUAACGGCCCACCAAGGCAACGAUCAGUAGGGGUUAUGAGAGGAAGGUACCCCACAUUGGAACUGAGACACGGUCCAAACUCCUACGGGAGGCAGCAGUGAGGAAUAUUGGUCAAUGGGCGGAAGCCUGAACCAGCCAAGUAGCGUGCAGGAUGACGGCCCUAUGGGUUGUAAACUGCUUUUAUACAGGAAUAAAGUUAGCCACGUGUGGUUAUUUGUAGGUACUGUAUGGAUAAGGACCGGCUAAUUCCGUGCCAGCAGCCGCGGUAA